UACUUUAUGUACGACAUCUUGAGUUAAUGAGUUAUGUGUAAGUGUUAUCCCCAGAUAGCCUUUGUUGACGCGUUUCCUUCUUAGUGCCUCCAUAAGUAAUAGCUGAUAUAACUGGCCAAUACAUGCCCAAUGGUGGCAAAAUUUUUUUGAUAUAUAGGAAAGUCACAAUGUCUGACAAAAUGAAAGGUCAAGUGAAGUGGUUCAACGAGUCUAAAGGCUUCGGUUUCAUCACCCCAGCUGACGGUAGCAAAGACGUAUUCGUUCACUUCUCUGCCAUUCAGGGUAACGGUUUCAAAACUUUGGCAGAAGGCCAGAACGUAGAAUUCACCAUUGAAAAUGGUGCGAAAGGUCCAGCUGCAGCAAACGUAAUGGCUAUCUGAUUGCUUGGAUGAUUUUGAAGCCCGUCACUAUUUUCUAUAAUGACGGGCUUUUUC
rnacentral:sRNA from 1 species